rnacentral:rRNA from 1 species
GAUGAACGCUGGCGGCGUGCUUAACACAUGCAAGUCGAACGGAAAGGCCCAAGCUUGCUUGGGUACUCGAGUGGCGAACGGGUGAGUAACACGUGGGUGAUCUGCCCUGCACUUCGGGAUAAGCCUGGGAAACUGGGUCUAAUACCGGAUAGGACCACUUCUUGGAUGUUGUGGUGGAAAGUUUUUUCGGUGUGGGAUGAGCUCGCGGCCUAUCAGCUUGUUGGUGGGGUAAUGGCCUACCAAGGCGUCGACGGGUAGCCGGCCUGAGAGGGUGUACGGCCACAUUGGGACUGAGAUACGGCCCAGACUCCGACGGGAGGCAGCAGUGGGGAAUAUUGCACAAUGGGCGCAAGCCUGAUGCAGCGACGCCGCGUGGGGGAUGACGGCCUUCGGGUUGUAAACUCCUUUCGCUAGGGACGAAGCGUUUUGUGACGGUACCUGGAGAAGAAGCACCGGCUAACUACGUG